UUUAUACAUAAUCAGUAGUGGCACAUAAAACGAUAUAAAUACAUUCAUACAUAAGUAAAUAUGUAUAUAAGUUAACGCAACAGUUUACAACAGCUCUGCAGAAUUGACUUCUACCAACGGUCAGAAACUCCACACGCGCAUCCGCACAAUUGCUGACACCGCAUUAACCAAUUUGUUAUUCGAUCAGCAAUAAUAAUUGGCACAACAACGAUUGGGCAAUAUUCGGAAAUAGUGCAUAUGCAAGUGCAACGUGACUGAUGGCCGAUAGUAGGUUUAAUUUAAUGUUAAGAAACCAAUUGUAUUCAGUUCUAAGUUUAGACUCAAUUAAUAAAGACGUGGGGACGCGAGUCCCUACACUUUUUUAAAAAUGCGUUAUUUAAUAAAAUAACUUAACUUAUACAAAUGUAGGAAAUACUGUAAGCGUCUUCUUAGGUAGGCUAAGUACGGGUAUAGUUUAGGGAUGCAAAUUUUGGGGAGUAACAUCGAUACAUCGAUGUUUCGAUGCAUCGGAAAAAUUAAUAUCGAUGCUAAAAUACAUCGCCAGAAAACAUCGAUAUAUCGAUGGUUUCCGAUGUUUCAAAAGUUGUUAGGUUGUAGUCACAUUAAAAGGAAAAUUUCAUACUUUUCAAUUCAGACUCUCUGUAAUUCAAUUAGAAACAUGCUUACAUAUGGAUGUAUUUCCCUGUAUUUAUUUACCACUCGUUUACCCUUCUUAUAAAUAGAAUAGAAAUGCAUGCCGUCGUAAGUUCGAUGAGCCUAAAGUUCCAGGGCCCAAUUUCGGUGAAAUUUCAACGGAAUCCCGGUCCUUGUUUAAUGACUAAGUAAGCAUUUUAAUAUCGAAAGAUAAGAGUAAACUCGGAAUUUCUGAAUGCUCCUCAAAAGAAUAAGUAAUAAAAUUCAUGGCCAGUCAACAAAUUUUGGGAGCAUAAGUCGAUGUGAAAACAUCGCUGAAACUGGCAUCGAUGUAUCGUCAAUUUAGCGAUUUUAGGAAAUUGUAAACAUCGAUGGCAAACAUCGAAUUUUGAACCGAUAUUAUCGAUGUUUCAAAAAUAUCGAGGCAUCGUUUGCAUCCCUAGCAUAUUGGUAACUAUCCAGCGCACGAUAUCAUUGCAUUCACACUGAAUGCGUAUAUACAUGUAUAAUUAUGUAUGUACAAGAAAACAAAGA